AGCACUGGCCUGGUAGGAAACACUGGAAAAGGUCAUCCAGCAGCUUAAGGAGGCUGGGAGAGAAGAGUUGGAGAAGGAAGAAGAGUUGGGGAGGAGGCUGGAGACACAGAGGACCUGUUCCUCCCUCCUGCUUUCCUUUUCCUUCCUGGAUUGGCCAACCUCUAGCUGACGCUUGGGGGAGGAGGAGGAAAGGGAGGUCUUCUGUGGGGCCAUUUGGUCCAGAGCAGGAGAAGCUGGCAUGGAGGAGGACAGGGUAGAGGAAGUACCACCAAGGACAGCAGGCUUAGGAUUCUUCCUUCCCUGCACCUCCCCUUCCCCACCCAGCACUCAUCCAGACCUGGAUCCUAUGGAAAUCACAGUUUUGUUCUCAACUGACAACCUUGUCUUCUUAAUGAGUGAAGAGUUCUCCCCGCAACUCUCUGCACCCACCCCCGCCAGGUUCUGUCUUACCCUACAUCUCACCACACCUGACUCUGCUAAGUAAAAGGAUAAAACCAGGAGCACAGCCAUGCCAGUCUCCUGUGGCUCUGUCCCCUCCACCUUCCUCCCGUGGCCCCAUCCAGGAAAUCGGCCCACAAGAGAGGCCGACGCUGCUUCUGACCAGAGCUACCGAGCGCCUCUCUGGAGACAAUGGCUCAGAGAGAAGGAGGAAGACUAGCAGCUCCAGCUUUGUGCUCAGGGUGGCCACACAAAACCAUUGUCUUGACAUCAGGACAGACAAUGGUUUGUAUCUCUGGCUUCUGCGCUGAGCAGUUCACUCCCUUGGACUAAGAUAAUUUUAAAGAUUUCCUUCUAAUAAAUAGUAAUGAUACUGG
rnacentral:lncRNA from 1 species